ensembl:lncRNA
UUACAGUUAACUAGUCCAACGCAAUAAUGACCUGCCUGUCUCUCGUUGCACUCCACAAGGAGACUGCCUGUUACGCAAAUGCCAAGGGAGUGAUGGUGAUGACAGUGGCUCUGAUGACCAGGCGAGAGAGGAGAAUAACCUGUGGGAGGAGCAACAGAUUGGGAUGUGAGUCAAGCGACACCCUGGGGGAACAGCUUUACCAGGACGCCCUGGUGUUCUGGCGGGUUUUUAGAUGACAAAUCCUCUCCAAAGAGGCGGUUCAGAGACCAGCCGUGAAGGUACGUAAAACAACACUUGUUUUAAAGGUCUUGUUCCAUGAUGCGUUUUCUAAAAGAGGGUUUAUAGUGCACUGUGGUGACGGACCAUGUGGCUAGUUAGCCCGUAACAACAUCUACCAGUAAAGUCCAGUCAAGAGAUGGAGGGCUUUCGUGUCACAGCUCCUUGCGUGUUGCCUUGUGCAGCUAAUUCCCCUGCCUUUACUGCGUGGUCUCUCUUGCCAUUUCUGUGACAUCCAUUGCUUUAGUGGUGUUUCCAUCUUGCGUGUCAACUCUUCGGUAACGUGGGCCGGUGGGGUGGUUUGAUACCUGAACACGCUCUAAAGGAGCUUGAUGUUGGACAAACUCCUGAACUGCUACCUGAAUGAUGACACUACUCAACGAGACCCCAUCUCAGGACUCUGUCCAUAAAUGCAAAAAGGUGUGUAGGUGAAUUGCGUGUGUCUAAUGUUGAUGUGUUGUCUAC